rnacentral:rRNA from 1 species
UACGUAGGGCGCGAGCGUUGUCCGGAAUUAUUGGGCGUAAAGAGCUCGUAGGCGGCCUGUCGCGUCAAUUGUGAAAGCCCGGGGCUUAACCCCGGGUCUGCAGUCGAUACGGGCAGGCUAGAGUGUGGUAGGGGAGAUCGGAAUUCCUGGUGUAGCGGUGAAAUGCGCAGAUAUCAGGAGGAACACCGGUGGCGAAGGCGGAUCUCUGGGCCAUUACUGACGCUGAGGAGCGAAAGCGUGGGGAGCAAACAGG